UACGGGAGGCAGCAGGGGGAAUAUUGCACAAUGGGCGCAAGCCUGAUGCAGCCAUGCCGCGUGUAUGAAGAAGGCCUUCGGGUUGUAAAGUACUUUCAGUCGUGAGGAAGGUGUUAAGGUUAAUAACCUUAGCAAUUGACGUUAGCGACAGAAGAAGCACCGGCUAACUCCGUGCCAGCAGCCGCGGUAAUACGGAGGGUGCGAGCGUUAAUCGGAAUUACUGGGCGUAAAGGGCACGCAGGCGGUUAAUUAAGUUGGAUGUGAAAUCCCCGGGCUUAACCUGGGAAUGGCAUUCAAGACUGGUUAGCUAGAGUCUUGUAGAGGGGGUUAGAAUUCCAUGUGUAGCGGUGAAAUGCGUAGAGAUGUGGAGGAAUACCGGUGGGCGAAGGCGGCCCCUGGGACAAAGGACUGACGCUCAUGUGCGAAAGCGUGGGGAGCGAAACAGGGAUUAGAUACC
rnacentral:rRNA from 1 species